CCAGGUAAACUCUAUGCGGUGCAAUGCCACGUAUACUCAGGCUUGAGGGUACCCGCCCAAUCUGAGAGGGUAGGCAGAUAGAGCGUUUUGGUAACAAAACGUCGAGAUAAAUGAUAAGGCUUCAAAUUAUUUUGGAGACAGAAUCCGGCUUAUAGGCCU
rnacentral:RNase_P_RNA from 11 species